AACGAACGCUGGCGGCAGGCUUAACACAUGCAAGUCGAGCGCCCCGCAAGGGGAGCGGCAGACGGGUGAGUAACGCGUGGGAAUCUACCCAUCUCUACGGAAUAACGCAUGGAAACGUGUGCUAAUACCGUAUACGUCCUCCGGGAGAAAGAUUUAUCGGAGAUGGAUGAGCCCGCGUUGGAUUAGCUAGUUGGUGGGGUAAAGGCCUACCAAGGCGACGAUCCAUAGCUGGUCUGAGAGGAUGAUCAGCCACACUGGGACUGAGACACGGCCCAGACUCCUACGGGAGGCAGCAGUGGGGAAUAUUGGACAAUGGGCGCAAGCCUGAUCCAGCCAUGCCGCGUGAGUGAUGAAGGCCCUAGGGUUGUAAGCUCUUUCACCGGUGAAGAUAAUGACGGUAACCGGAGAAGAAGCCCCGGCUAACUUCGUGCCAGCCGCCGCGGUAAUAC
rnacentral:rRNA from 1 species